AAUGAACGCUGGCGGCAGGCCUAACACAUGCAAGUCGAACGGCAGCACGGACUUCAGCCUGGUGGCGAGUGGCAAACGGGUGAGUAAUGUAUCGGAACGUGCCCAGUCGUGGGGGAUAACGUAGUGAAAAUUACGCUAAUACCGCAUACGAUCUAUGGAUGAAAGCGGGGGAUCGAAAGACCCCGCCCGAUUGGAGCGGCCGAUAUCAGAUUAGGUAGUUGGUGGGGUAAAGGCCCACCAAGCCAACGAUCUGUAGCUGGUCUGAGAGGACGACCAGCCACACUGGAACUGAGACACGGUCCAGACUCCUACGGGAGGCAGCAGUGGGGAAUUUUGGACAAUGGGCGAAAGCCUGAUCCAGCCAUUCCGCGCGCAGGAUGAAGGCCCUCGGGUUGUAAACUGCUUUUGUACAGAACGAAAAGGUUUCUACUAAUACUAGGAGCUCAUGACGGUACUGUAAGAAUAAGCACCGGCUAACUACGUGCCAGCCGCCGCCGUAA
rnacentral:rRNA from 1 species